ACUAAACCUAGCCCACACAUAUCCCCUUUCUACUACUACAAGUAAAUAAACCAAAACAUUCACCAUACGUCUAAAGUAUAGGAGAUAGAAAUUUAAAAUAUCCAUGGCGCUAUAGAGAUAGUACCGUAAGGGAAAGAUGAAAGAAACACCAAAAGUAAAAAAAAGCAAAGCUUACCCCUUGUACCUUUUGCAUAAUGACUUAACUAGUAACAACUUAGCAAAGAGACCUUAAGUUAAACUACCCGAAACCAGACGAGCUACUUAAGAGCAGUUACUAGAACGAACUCAUCUAUGUAGCAAAAUAGUGAGAGGACUUUUAAGUAGAGGUAAAAAGCCUAACGAGCCUGGUGAUAGCUGGUUGUCCAAGAAAAGAAUCUCAGUUCACCAUUAAAUAAUACUAAAACCCACAUUAAGUCUUAACGUAUAUUUAAUAGCUAAUCUAAAAAGGUACAGCUUUUUAGAAAUGGAUACACCCUUGACUAGAGAGUAACAAAACCACAAAACCAUAGUAGGCCUAAAAGCAGCCAUCAAUUAAGAAAGCGUUCAAGCUCAACAACACAAUAACCCCUUAAUUUCAAUAAUAGACAAUCAACUCCUAGCAUGACUACUGGACUAAUCUAUAUAAACAUAGAAGCAAUACUGUUAACAUGAGUAACAAGAAAACUUUCUCCUUGCACAAAUUUAUACCAGUGACUGAUACUAUACUGAUAGUUAACAGCCCAUAAAUAUAACCUAACACUAAACUCUUUAUUAAAACACUGUUAGCCCAACACAGGUGUGCACUAAGGAAAGAUUAAAAAAAGUAAAAGGAACUCGGCAAACACAAACCCCGCCUGUUUACCAAAAACAUCACCUCUAGCAUAACCAGUAUUAGAGGCACUGCCUGCCCAGUGACAAUCGUUAAACGGCCGCGGUAUUCUGACCGUGCAAAGGUAGCAUAAUCACUUGUUCUCUAAAUAAGGACUUGCAUGAAUGGCCACACGAGGGUUUUACUGUCUCUUACUUUCAAUCAGUGAAAUUGACCUCCCCGUGAAGAGGCGGGGAUAAUUAAAUAAGACGAGAAGACCCUAUGGAACUUUAAUUAAUUAAUCCAACAAAAUAUAAAUUUAAACCACCCAAGGGAUAACAAACUUUUAUAUGGGUUAACAAUUUCGGUUGGGGUGACCUCGGAGCAUAAAAAAACCUCCGAGUGAUUAAAGCCUAGGCCUACCAGCCAAAGCACACAUCACUUAUUGAUCCAAACUAUUGAUCAACGGAACAAGCUACCCUAGGGAUAACAGCGCAAUCCUAUUCUAGAGUCCAUAUCGACAAUAGGGUUUACGACCUCGAUGUUGGAUCAGGACAUCCUGAUGGUGCAACCGCUAUUAAGGGUUCGUUUGUUCAACGAUUAAAGUCCUACGUGAUCUGAGUUCAGACCGGAGUAAUCCAGGUCGGGUUCUAUCUAUUAUGCAUUUCUCCCAGCACGAAAGGACAAGAGAAAUAAGGGCAACUUCCAACAAGCGCCUUCAAUUAAUUAAUGAUUUAAUCUCAACUUAAUAAACAAGCACAAAUUAUACCCACCCAAGACCAGGGUUUU
rnacentral:rRNA from 1 species